rfam:Gossypium hirsutum cultivar TM-1 chromosome 9, whole genome shotgun sequence
UGUUAAAAAUUUGUUCAUUUUUAUUGUUAAAAAUUGGUGCAACUAAGAGAAUAACCAAACAAUUACACAUAACGUGCCAUGUGUACUUCAUUCUUGACAUACAAGAAUCAAUUUUUAACAAUAGAAAUGAAUAAAAAUUUUUAACA